rnacentral:rRNA from 2 species
UUGGGUAGGGGAGCGUUCUGUAAGCCGUUGAAGGUGAAUCGUAAGGUUUGCUGGAGGUAUCAGAAGUGCGAAUGCUGACAUGAGUAACGACAAAGGGGGUGAAAAACCUCCUCGCCGGAAGACCAAGGGUUCCUGUCCAACGUUAAUCGGGGCAGGGUGAGUCGACCCCUAAGGUGAGGCCGAAAGGCGUAAUCGAUGGGAAACGGGUUAAUAUUCCCGUACUUCUGACUAUUGCGAUGGGGGGACGGAGAAGGCUAGGUGGGCCAGGCGACGGUUGUCCUGGUUCAAGUGCGUAGGCUUGAGAGUUAGGUAAAUCCGGCUCUCUCUAAGGCUGAGACACGACGUCGAGCUACUACGGUAGUGAAGUCAUUGAUGCCAUGCUUCCAGGAAAAGCCUCUAAGCUUCAGAUAGUCAGGAAUCGUACCCCAAACCGACACAGGUGGUCGGGUAGAGAAUACCAAGGCGCUUGAGAGAACUCGGGUGAAGGAACUAGGCAAAAUGGUACCGUAACUUCGGGAGAAGGUACGCUCUUGAUGGUGAAGUCCCUCGCGGAUGGAGCUGACGAGAGUCGCAGAUACCAGGUGGCUGCAACUGUUUAUUAAAAACACAGCACUGUGCAAAAUCGCAAGAUGACGUAUACGGUGUGACGCCUGCCCGGUGCCGGAAGGUUAAUUGAUGGGGUUAGCGCAAGCGAAGCUCUUGAUCGAAGCCCCGGUAAACGGCGGCCGUAACUAUAACGGUCCUAAGGUAGCGAAAUUCCUUGUCGGGUAAGUUCCGACCUGCACGAAUGGCGUAAUGAUGGCCACGCUGUCUCCACCCGAGACUCAGUGAAAUUGAAAUCGCUGUGAAGAUGCAGUGUACCCGCGGCUAGACGGAAAGACCCCGUGAACCUUUACUACAGCUUGGCACUGAACAUUGAACCUACAUGUGUAGGAUAGGUGGGAGGCUAUGAAGACGUGACGCCAGUUGCGUUGGAGCCGUCCUUGAAAUACCACCCUUGUAUGUUUGAUGUUCUAACUUAGACCCAUUAUCUGGGUUGAGGACAGUGCCUGGUGGGUAGUUUGACUGGGGCGGUCUCCUCCCAAAGAGUAACGGAGGAGCACGAAGGUGGGCUAAUCACGGUUGGACAUCGUGAGGUUAGUGCAAUGGCAUAAGCCCGCUUAACUGCGAGAAUGACGGUUCGAGCAGGUGCGAAAGCAGGUCAUAGUGAUCCGGUGGUUCUGUAUGGAAGGGCCAUCGCUCAACGGAUAAAAGGUACUCCGGGGAUAACAGGCUGAUACCGCCCAAGAGUUCAUAUCGACGGCGGUGUUUGGCACCUCGAUGUCGGCUCAUCACAUCCUGGGGCUGAAGUCGGUCCCAAGGGUAUGGCUGUUCGCCAUUUAAAGUGGUACGCGAGCUGGGUUUAGAACGUCGUGAGACAGUUCGGUCCCUAUCUGCCGUGGGCGUUGGAAGAUUGAAGGGGGCUGCUCCUAGUACGAGAGGACCGGAGUGGACGAACCUCUGGUGUUCGGGUUGUGUCGCCAGACGCAUUGCCCGGUAGCUAAGUUCGGAAUUGAUAAGCGCUGAAAGCAUCUAAGCGCGAAGCGAGCCCUGAGAUGAGUCUUCCCUGACAGUUUAACUGUCCUAAAGGGUUGU